rnacentral:lncRNA from 1 species
AGUAAAUUCCAUGAAUAGGUGCCAAUGCUACACUUCCUUAGCUAGGAGCUAGCAAUGCUACGUGGAAUUGCAUGUCGGUAUCUUCUGAGAGGUUGUUCUCUCUCCACUUCUCAUUCAAGUCUGAAGAUGCUUACAGUCACCUGCAGUACUUCUAAAUCAGAUUUAUACCCCAUGGCAUAAAACAAAGCAACGUAGAAAAUCUCUGACUGCUCCAUAAUGCUGACUUCACAAAGUCCCCAGCCACCCACAGGAUCUCUCAAAGUUGUCAUCUGGAGGAUAGGGGAGCUUUGGGGAAAAAAUCAGAGCCCCUCAAUUACCAAUUCUGACAACUCUUAUUUUAGCUUGAAUCUCCCCAUGCAAAUAGACAGUUGACAUGUGAUUGGAGAAGAAAUAGAAGUAUGUUUCUAUUAAAACCAUGUUCCUUAA